GACGGAGGAUGCAAGUGUUAUCCGGAAUCACUGGGCGUAAAGCGUCUGUAGGUGGUCAAAUAAGUCAACUGUUAAAUCUUGAGGCUCAACCUCAAAAUCGCAGUCGAAACUAUUAGACUAGAGUAUAGUAGGGGUAAGGGGAAUUUCCAGUGGAGCGGUGAAAUGCGUAGAGAUUGGAAAGAACACCGAUGGCGAAGGCACUUUACUGGGCUAUUACUAACACUCAGAGACGAAAGCUAGGGUAGCAAAUGGGG
rnacentral:rRNA from 1 species